AUGCAUCUAUUGACGGACCAGCAGCAGUUGCUUAUCUGUUGCCAAGGUUUCCACUACAGAUGCAAAAAAAAAAAAAAGUUGUUUCACUUUCUGCCAGUUUGUGGCAGAGGGGGAGGGAGAGAAAGGG
rnacentral:snoRNA from 1 species